rnacentral:misc_RNA from 1 species
AUGAUUGCGAAUUGUUGCCUUCAGUGCUGGCCGGGCUUCCGCUUUGGCAAGUGCACGUCGGUGACUUUCAUCCAAUACCCUGUGCACCUUUGGCCUCUUGCUAGCUUCGGCUGGUAGAGGAUUUUUACACAUAUACUCGAAUGUAAUGAAAAACUAUUGUCGUGCGCAAGCACUAAUGUA